rnacentral:rRNA from 1 species
UACGUAGGGGGCAAGCGUUGUCCGGAUUUAUUGGGCGUAAAGAGCGUGUAGGCGGUUUGGUAGGUCCGCUGUGAAAACUCGAGGCUCAACCUCGAGACGCCGGUGGAAACCAUCAGACUAGAGUCCGGAAGAGGAGAGUGGAAUUCCUGGUGUAGCGGUGAAAUGCGCAGAUAUCAGGAAGAACACCCGUGGCUAAGGCGGCCCGCUGGGCAGUGGCUGACGCUGAGGCGCGACAGCGUGGGGAGCAAACAGG